UGCUAAAGAAUUUUAAAUUUAUCCUCCCCGGAGAGUCUAUGGAAUGGAUGAACACCAAGAAAUUCUAGGGCCUAGGAUCAAAUUUGGAGUCUAAAAUGACAGCCCAGGCAGGAGAUAGAUGCAGCAUAUUCCACUGAUGGGUCCUUGUGGAAAAUAUCUUCUUCUGAAAAGAGCAUCUUGAGAAGAGACAAUUUCACCUUCUGCUGGAAGUUGAUUGCCUCCAUGUGACGCUUGGAGUUGCCACGCUACCAUUUUGCUAUGCUAAGAGGAGCUCAUCUGUGAACAAAGCCUAUAUUCAACAAGGAACCUGAUUUCUUGUUGAGAUUUUUCCCUACUGAGUUCACUGUUGUGUGGAGAACCCUUGGGUCCCCUAAAGAAGGAGUUGCAAAUUUGUUUGUUGAGCUCAGAGGAAUGGUGUGGGCCAUGCUGGUUGUCUGGAAAGGUCACUGCAUCAGAAGUGUGGGCUUGGCCAUCUUCCUUUCUGUCUUAUUGCACCAAUGAGCUUCCAAAGCACCGAAGAACUCAGCUCUUCAGCUCCAAAGUUAGACUGAAAAGACUGACUCAGAGGUGUAGUGAACCCCAAG
ensembl:lncRNA